AAGCUUGAUUUCCGCCUUCAGGGGUUUCUGAACGAGAGAGAGACAGACGGCGGCGGGCGGCGGCGGCGGCGGCGAGGGAGCCGAAGCCUGAGAGGAUGGUGUUUGGCCGGAGCAAGUCGUCCUCGUCGACGGUGUCUCCUCCCCCUGCUGCGGCGGCUUCCUCGGCGGCCGCGGCGGCGUGCUCGGAGCUGCGUGCGGCGUACCACGAGUGCUUCAACCGCUGGUACGCGGAGAAGUUCGCCAAGGGGCAAUGGCACAAGGACGACUGCGUCGGCGAGUGGCACAAGUACCGCGCCUGCCUCGAGGAACAUCUGGAAGACAAGAAUCUCAGGCAAAUCCUAUUGGAAUCAGAAACAUCUGCCUACUAUGCCCAGUUUGAUGCUGAUUCUUCUUCUCGAAAAGGUGGCACCUCGACGAAGUGACAACCUAGGGCUAACCACAUAUGAUCAAGUUUCGCUUGACUCAACCUGGAUUAGGAGACCCUCAUAGAUGAACGAAAAAGGUGUUUGUAUUUUACAUAUUAGAUGCAUGUUCAUGCUGUUGCAUCGCGCUGCAGUUCAGCAGCUGAGAUGUAAGCUUUUCCAAGAUCAUAUUGAACUCAAACCUACAACUUUGAUGUACCCUGAAAUUUGCAGCAGUUUCUCUUCCUGAAUCUGGGAGAACAGCUUCAGCUAUAUGUAAACUUAAAAAAUAUUCUCCAACCCACCAAUUUUGUGCUGCAUCGAUGCAAAUUUUCAAUACCUCCU
rnacentral:lncRNA from 1 species